UUUUCAGACGUUUUACAACGCCUGUUACACUCAUGUUAUGUAGUACACAGUAUGUAACGACAGAAACUUCCGGAAUGUGUAUUUCAAGACAUGAAGCUACUUAAACAGACAUUAUAAUCCUGUCACCACUGCCAGUAUCAUGAUUUCCCGAAUGUCACCGGUAUAAACGGUACGGAACAACGCCCAUAUCCCCAUAACAUGGAGGUUUCCUCUGCUACCACCAAAGUAGCCAAUAGUACAGUUCCAACCGCGUAUGACAUCGGAUCAAAUGAUGACACACAGAUGGUUUUGAUCCGAUUGGGCGCCAUUGUGUUCGUUAUACUUUUCAUUGUCCUGAUCGCCCUCUUUCUUGAAUCCCGAAAACGUCACAGGGCAAAAAAGGACUUGAAUGCUUUCUUUAUCUUUUGAUGAAUACGAAUCUAUUGUUAACUACAUGCAUUUAAAGCACUACACACAAUGCAUUAGAAAGCAUUGGUCAAUAUUCCUUAUCUAAGUGCUUGUAAAAAGGUCAAUUUACACUAAUUCAAUAUUUAACGUUAUUUAUAUUGCUAUUAUACAACAUUUUUAUUAUUUUUUUUUAUAUUUAUUUGACUCAUUUGUGUUUUUUUUAUUGUUAAUACUUUGCCUAAGAUAUUAUGCAUAAUAAAAUUUGAA